UCGGAAGUACAUUCCACUUGUUGGCCUUGGCCUGGUCGAGAAUCCGGUUCCAGCGUGCCCGGUCAUUCGCUGCACUUUGCCAACCUCUUAUUCCCAGCGCCCGAAGAUCUGAUUCGACGCCAUCUAUCCAUCGCAUUUUAGGGCGUCCUACUCCUCUCCGCCCUUCUGGAUCAUUUCGGAAUAACAUUGUUCCUGUCCAUGCGUGCUACAUGUC